rnacentral:rRNA from 1 species
UUAAUUGAAGAGUUUGAUCAUGGCUCAGAUUGAACGCUGGCGGCAGGCUUAACACAUGCAAGUCGAGCGGUAGCACAGGGGAGCUUGCUCUCUGGGUGACGAGCGGCGGACGGGUGAGUAAUGUCUGGGAAACUGCCUGAUGGAGGGGGAUAACUACUGGAAACGGUAGCUAAUACCGCAUAACGUCGCAAGACCAAAGAGGGGGACCUUCGGGCCUC